rnacentral:lncRNA from 1 species
AGAGGCACCGGAAGGCACAGGCCGCGGCCCGGGGCUCGUCGGCCGCGCCCUCUCCGGCUGCGCACUGACCACGCAUCGCGCGCCUUCUUGGUCUCCGGGCAAGCGCAGCAGGGCUUCAGCGGCUUCUUCUCCUGAGACUCAGGCGGGGCAGGGUUUGAGUCAACCAGACCCGGCAUCUUUCGCGCCAAAAGCAGCUAUGAGCGGAGACAGCCAAAUCUAUGCCAGCCUCGGCAAACGCCGAUUCGUCCGCAGUCACUUCCGGCAGUCGCUCUAAAAAGUACAGGAAGUCCUGCUUCUCUCUGACAGGUGGGGAAUUUAAAAGGAGCGCGUGCGCAGAAGAGGCAAAAUUCGGGCCUUAACGAGAGGGUGCCCCCUUCAGCGCAUGCGCAAGGAGGCCCGCUGAACGCUCACCUGGACUGUGGUAUUUACACUCUAGGACUCUAGGUCAUAGAGUAUUUGUUAAAUCAACUUGGGGAGGGCUCACGAAGAAAGAAAGCAGCAAGACAACUGAGAGAUCUCGUAACACCCGCUCCUCCCCACCCAAUAUCGAAACGGAAGCCCAAGAUGGUGAAAUGAUUUGUUCAAGCCAAACAGGAGAAACCAUAAGUGAAAGCCAGUUCCCUUGAAUAACAGACUAGUUUCCCCCUUUUCUUUUAUCCGCCUUCUUCCUGAUCCCCACACACUGCAGGCCUUUCCUCUCUUUCAUUGACCUAUUUAAAAAUGAAUAGCAAGACAUAGAACCACCGAGUCCACAACUAUUGGGGGAAUUUAAAAGGUCCUAUAACCCCCUAUACACCUCCUACGCACAUUAAAUCCUCAGCUAAUUUGCAUUUAUAGCCCCCCUCCAACUGAUCUGAAUUCAGUAUGAAUUAUUCAGUCAUAUAUUCGUUAAUAUACUGAUGAAUAAAAUUGAAAAAUACCAUUUCCAUAGCAUUUCCUCAGGUACAUAGAUAAACUGGUGCCCGUCUUAUUCGCAAUGAAAUGGAUAUAAUCAUUGGAUUUUUUUCCUGCAGAGUAUUGUUGGAAACAGGCAAUAAACUCUUUUUUAUUUUAUUUUAUUUUAUUUUUUGGAGAUAGGGUCUUGCUCUGUCGCCCAGGCUGGAGUGAAGUGGCACGAUCUUGGCUGACUGCAACCUCCACCUCCUGGGUUCAAGCAAUUCUCCUGCCUCAGCCUCCUGAGUAGCUGGGAUUACAGGUGUGCACCACCACGCCCGAGUAAUUUUUGCAUUUUUUAGUAGAGACGGGGUUUCGCCAUGCUGGCCAGGCUGGUCUCGAACUCUGACCUCAGGUGAUCCGCCCACAUCAGCCUCCAAAAGUGCUAGGUUAUAGG